rnacentral:SRP_RNA from 1 species
GCUGGGCACGGUGGUGCAUGCCUGUAGUCCCAGCUACUUGGAUGCUGGGGCAGGAGGAUUGCUUGAGCUCAGGAGAGUGAGGUUGCAGUGAGCCAUGAACAUGCCACUGCACUCCAGCCUGGGUGACAGAGCAGGACUCUGUCUCAA